rnacentral:rRNA from 1 species
GACCUCAGAUCAGGCAAGGCUACCC